rnacentral:rRNA from 1 species
AUUGAACGCUGGCGGCAGGCCUAACACAUGCAAGUCGAGCGGAUGAAGGGAGCUUGCUCCUGGAUUCAGCGGCGGACGGGUGAGUAAUGCCUAGGAAUCUGCCUGGUAGUGGGGGAUAACGUCCGGAAACGGGCGCUAAUGCCGCAUACGUCCUGAGGGAGAAAGUGGGGAUCUUCGGACCUCACGCUAUCAGAUGAGCCUAGGUCGGAUUAGCUAGUUGGUGGGGUAAAGGCCUACCAAGGCGACGAUCCGUAACUGGUCUGAGAGGAUGAUCAGUCACACUGGAACAGAGACACGGUCCAGACUCCUACGGGAGGCAGCAGUGGGGAAUAUUGGACAAUGGGCGAAAGCCUGAUCCAGCCAUGCCGCGUGUGUGAAGAAGGUCUUCGGAUUGGAAAGCACUUUAAGUUGGGAGGAAGGGCAGUAAGUUAAUACCUUGCUGUUUUGACGUUACCAACAGAAUAAGCACCGGCUAACUUCGUG